UUAAAGGAAUUGGCGGGGGAGCACCGCAACGGGAGGAGCGUGCGGUUUAAUUGGAUUCAACACCGGAAAACUCACCAGGGAAGACUGUUACAUGAAAGCCAGGCUAACGACCUUGCUCGAUUUUCAGAGAGGUGGUGCAUGGCCGUCGUCAGUUCGUACCGUAAGGCGUUCUCUUAAGUGAGAUAACGAACGAGACCCUCACCAAUAGUUGCUACUUUAUCCUCCGGGAUGGAGGCACACUAUUGGGACCGCUGGCGCUAAGUCAGAGGAAGGAGAGGUCAACGGUAGGUCAGUAUGCCCCGAAUUUCCUGGGCUACACGCGCGCUACAAAGGGCGGGACAAUGGGUCCCUACACCGAAAGGUGGAGGUAAUCCCGAAACCCGUCCGUAGUUCGGAUUGAGGGUUGUAACUCACCCUCAUGAAGCUGGAUUCCGUAGUAAUCGCGAAUCAACAACUCGCGGUGAAUAUGCCCCUGCUCCUUGCACACACCGCCCGUCA
rnacentral:rRNA from 1 species